rnacentral:rRNA from 1 species
AACGAACGCUGGCGGCAGGCCUAACACAUGCAAGUCGAACGAACCGUUUACGGUGAGUGGCGCACGGGUGAGUAACACGUGGGAAUAUACAUUUCGGUAAGGAAUAACGUAGAGAAAUUUACGCUAAUACCUUAUAAUGACUACGGUCCAAAGAUUUAUCGCCGAAGGAUUAGCCCGCGUUAGAUUAGGUAGUUGGUAGGGUAAUGGCCUACCAAGCCUACGAUCUAUAGCUGGUCUUAGAGGAUGAUCAGCCACACUGGAACUGAGACACGGUCCAGACUCCUACGGGGGGCAGCAGUGAGGAAUAGUGCGCAAUGGGGGAAACCCUGACGCAGCCAUGCCACGUGAGUGACGAAGGCCUUAGGGUUGUAAAGCUCUUUCAGAUGUAAAGAUAAUGACGGUAACAUCAGAAGAAGCUCCGGCUAAAUUCGUGCCAGCAGCCGCCGUAA